UGUCCGCUUCGCCUUAGAGAAGAGUUUCCUAGCGGUGAGUUUCUCCCACUGGUGACCAGGAAGGUUAUCAGGUGGAAGAACUCAGCUCACCAACCCUCUCUGCCUGUAGA
ensembl:miRNA Mir6537 microRNA 6537